rfam:Schistosoma mansoni strain Puerto Rico chromosome 4, complete genome
AUCCAACUGACGAGUCCUAAAUAGGUCGAAAUGCUCGUCAAACUGGAU